GACGGUCGACGGUCAGCCCCAAAUCAUGGAGUCGAUUCCUGGGCUGGGCAGACCAGAAAAUUCUCCAACUGAAGCCCAAUGCAUUCGGCCUGUUGUGAUGAAACUGGCCCAAACUGCCCACAUAUCAUCUUCAUUUAAACAAACAACUUCUAAGAACAAAUCAGGCUAUUCAAGCGUGUUUAAUAAUCUGUUAUCUUGGAAAACCGAAAUGCAUUUAAUUACCAGGUUUCAUUCAACACAAACAUCUAAUACAAGGCACCAAUUCGUAAUUCCUCAUUUGGUUCCUAUUGUUUCAAUAAAUCCCAAUCAACCAAACUUGUUACCAAAUACUUAUAUACUAAACUAUGACCAAAUGUAAUAUCACCAGUCCAAAACAAUUUCAGCAGUCCAUAACAAUUUCAGCAGUCCACAGUACACAUUCAAUCCAUAUCAGUUAGCAAUAAUCCUAAUUUAGCAAGUCAUAAUACAAUGUUCAAUCACUUUAAACCAAACAAUCACAUCAACUGAAUCUAAAUCUAGGAUGAAACUUCAUUUAACUCCAACUUAGAGGUUACACUAGGGGGUUUUUGAGACAUGUACCUGGAUAUGAAAUGAACAAAGAGAAUGAAGAGAGAGUCAGCCCCAGCAAAUGCAACAGUAGCGGCACAAACAACUUUCAACAAUAGCAAAUCGCCACCAGCCCCAACAGCUUAAUUCCACAACCCAGAAUUGAUUCGAAGAAAUCCUAGUAUUAAAAUAGACCAAACAAACAAAAAACAAACCUAGAAUAUCCUUGAAGCUUUCAAUAGACCACAAACUCAACUGGACUAGCUUGACUGAUCUCAAAUUCACUCAAAAAUGCCUAGACAGACAUCAAAUCUAAAUUAGACCCGAUUCUGAAAUCAUCAGAUGAUAAAACAGCCUAAAAUAGUCCCACUUAAACCCAAAUUCAGUCGAAAUCAAUCAAUCACACCUCUGAAAUUUCCUGCUUCUAAGUAUUGAUCUAGGAACUCCUAUAUUAGAUCGUGAACUACAUAAAUGAAAGCCAACAUACACCAAUAACUUGAAAUUAAACUGAAAUACUAAUGGAACAGUAACCUUUUUUUUCUUUUUUAUCAGAUCUUCUAUUGCUUUUGAUUUUGCAGUUUUCUGGGAUUUUCUAUUGUUUUUUUUUUUGGAUUUUUCUUUUUUUGAUUUGAACUUAAAAGACUGAAUCUGAAACUAAAAAAAUGAAGGAAAGAGUUUUUAUGUGUGAUUAUUAGGGCUGAAGAGUUCCCCUUUGUUAAAGUACUAUUCAAUGCUUUUUAUAGGUAAAAUAUAGGGAAACCUCAGAUUUUUAAUUUGCACUUUCAUCCCCUGCUUAUUUACAGCUUGGUCCCUUAAUUUUUAAAUUGAUCACCAAGUAAAACUUUUAAAAACUAAAUCUGCAUUUAUACCCUACUGUAGAAGCCUCUAGGAUACUCUUUUAACCCCAAAAAUACUAUACUACUCUUAACCCUACCUUGCAAUUACUAUUUUUCAAGAUACUACCCUUUUCCCAUGCCCAAACUACCCUUCCAACAGUCUGAAAAUUACAGACUAAAGCUAACCGAACCCAAUCUCUCACCCUAGUUAUGAUUCAACUAAAGUUAACUAGAAUCAACUAUUCCCAAUCAAUCUAACCUACUAAUUAGCACUAACCAUGACUGAAAAUACACUAAUACUUAACUGAAGCUAAACCAAAACGAGUUUCAAAUUUAACUUAUAACAAACAGGGUAAAAUGAAAGUCUAAUUACCCCAACGACUAAUUAACACUUAACAAAUGAGCAUUCAAAUUAUUCCAUAAUCAAAAUUGAACCAGAAUGAAAAUCAAUCUAAAAUGAAUUAAACCUAAACAUGGAUAACAAAUCAAAGAAGAAGAAUUUAUGCUAAAAUUUGAUUGAAAAACUACAACUAUGCUUAAUUGAAUAAACAAAUUAAAUUAACUAAAAUAGGAACCAAAGGACAAACAUAUAGAAAACUUACUGCUAACCAAUCUUCAAAGAAAUUCUGAAAACAACUUUGAGUUAAUAUUAUAGGUCUAUUUCAUAAGCAAUAGACCUAUGACAUUAAUUCGGAGUUGCUCGUCCUGAAAAAUCAACAAAGCAGUCGACCAUGCACGAACCCUAGAUGUGGAAUUGAAGGCGACAUGGGGGGAUUCGAAGUAAAAUAACCCUAGACUCGAGGUGAGGAAGAUCAAUAGACCAUCUGGUAUCAAUUUGGGAUUGUUUGGACGAAUUUGUGCCUUGGCUGGAAUUUUCAAACAAAUGUUUGAGGAUACUGGGCUUGAUUCGAGGGAAACUGUUAGCAUAUAUGGAAAGGGAAGGUUAAGGAGAAUGAGGGGUGUAAUUUUGGUGGUGAUUGGAGGCGGUGCCGCCACUGGUGGGAGUGAGGAUUUUAGGGUGGCGUUCUAGGGUUCUUCAGGAGAGGGGUCUGUGAAGAAGACGAGUAUGGGGUUGGAGGGGCGCUCGGACACUACUAUGUACAUGAACCCAAG
rnacentral:lncRNA from 1 species